rnacentral:rRNA from 1 species
ACACUGGAACUGAGACACGGUCCAGACUCCUACGGGAGGCAGCAGUGGGGAAUAUUGGACAAUGGGCGAAAGCCUGAUCCAGCCAUGCCGCGUGUGUGAAGAAGGUCUUCGGAUUGUAAAGCACUUUAAGUUGGGAGGAAGGGCAGUAAGUUAAUACCUUGCUGUUUUGACGUUACCGACAGAAUAAGCACCGGCUAACUCUGUG